rnacentral:piRNA from 1 species
GUAUGAAUCUGUGAUAUCCUCCCU